CCUACGGGGGGCAGCAGUGAGGAAUAUUGGUCAAUGGACGAGAGUCUGAACCAGCCAAGUAGCGUGAAGGAUGACUGCCCUAUGGGUUGUAAACUUCUUUUAUAUGGGAAUAAAAUGUUCCACGUGUGGGAUUUUGUAUGUCUCAUAUGAAUAAGGAUCGGCUAACUCCGUGCCAGCUGCCGCGGUAAUACGGAGGAUCCGAGCGUUAUCCGGAUUUAGUGGGGUUAAAGGGUGCGUAGGUGGAUUGUUAAGUCAGAUGUGAAAGUUUGCGGCUCAACCGUAAAAUUGCAGUUGAAACUGGCAGUCUUGAGUACAGUAGAGGUAGGCGGAAUUCGUGGUGUAGCGGUGAAAUGCUUAGAUAUCACGAAGAACUCCGAUUGCGAAGGCAGCUCACUGGACUACAACUGACACUGAGGCUCGAAAGUGUGGGUAUCAAACAGGAUUAGAUACCCGUGUAGUC
rnacentral:rRNA from 1 species